rnacentral:rRNA from 1 species
AUUGAACGCUGGCGGCAGGCCUAACACAUGCAAGUCGAACGAGUGGCGGACGGGUGAGUAAUGUCUGGGAAACUGCCUGAUGGAGGGGGAUAACUACUGGAAACUGUAGCUAAUACCGCAUACCCUCAGAUGUUCCCAGAUGGGAUUAGCUUGUUGGUGGGGUAACGGCUCACCUAGGCGACGAUCCCUAGCUGGUCUGAGAGGAUGACCAGCCACACUGGAACUGAGACACGGUCCAGACUCCUACGGGAGGAAGCAGUGGGGAAUAUUGCACAAUGGGGGAAAGCCUGAUGCAGCCAUGCCGCGUGUAGGAAGAAGGCCUUCGGGUUGUAAAGUACUUUCAGCGGGGAGGCGUUACCCGCAGAAGAAGCACCGGCUAACUCCGUGCCAGCAGCCGCGGUAAUAC